rnacentral:lncRNA from 1 species
GUGUAUAAUCUUUCUACCCAGUAACGGUGGUAAAUAAUAUAUCUCUUUUACUCAUGUGUUGAAGUUUUUCUUCCCCAGUUGAGUCUGGAUUCGUAUUUCUUUGUGAAAUUUCCUUUUGUGUUUGGGUAUUUCAGCUUCGUUCUGAUUUACGCCUUUCCUUAGUGGACAUUUCUUGUUGUGUUGGUUUUAUUCCAAUGCAUGUAAAUUAUUUUCCCCAGUCUGAGUCUUUCCAUCGUUUUAUUUAUGGAAAUCCCCCCGUGUCUCCGACCGUUUUAAGUCGUAGCCUGGACUACACAUAGCUUUUU